rnacentral:rRNA from 1 species
UACAGAGGUCUCAAGCGUUGUUCGGAUUCAUUGGGCGUAAAGGGUGCGUAGGCGGACCAGUAAGUCAGUGGUGAAAUCUCUUUGCUUAACAAAGAAACUGCCAUUGAUACUGCUAGUCUAGAGUAUAGAUGACGUUGGCGGAAUAUGACAUGUAGUGGUGAAAUACUUAGAUAUGUCAUAGAACACCCGAUUGCGAAGGCAGCUAACGAAACUAUAACUGACGCUGAGGCACGAAAGUGCGGGGAUCAAACAGG